rnacentral:tRNA from 1 species
GACUCAGUAGCUCAGCCGGAUAGAGCGUUUGACUACGAAUCAAAAGGCCAGGGGUUCGAAUCCCUUCUGGGUCACCA